GACCACAAAGGAGAGAGGCCACACCAGGGACUCAGUGCAGUGCAGAGUGAAAGUGAAGGAGCUCAGACAAGCAUACCAGAAAACCAAAGAGGCAAACGGAAGGUCUGGGGCAGGGCCAAAAACAUGCCGCUUCUACGCUGAGCUGCAUGCAAUUUUAGGGAGCUGCGCCACCACUACCCCCCCUCCUCCGUCCUUGGAUUCCGUGGUGGGGGUUGUAAUCUCAGCCAUGCCUGAGGAUUAUGUGGACGGGGAAGGUGAGGAGGAGGAAGAGGAGGACGAGCUUGAAGAGAGCACACAGCACUCUGUUAGCCCAACAGCCAGGAGCUUUUUCUGACCCAGACGGAAUUACCGUCCCAGGCCUCCCAAGCCACUAGCCCAGACAGUGAAGCCAUGGAAGCGACCUCUGCUGCACAUUUUUCAAGCCUCCCUACUCCAUCCCGAAGGCUAGCUCAGAUAAGGCGGAGGAAGAAGAGGACACGAGACAAAAUGUUCUCUGAAAUCAUGGAAGUAACCCACAAUGAAAGAGCUCAUCUGAAUCAGUGGAAAGACGUGGUAUCAAAUUACAGGAAAGAUGCCAGUGAACGUGAGGAGAGGAGAGAUGCUCGAGAUGAGAGGUGGCCGCAGGAAGAUCAGAGGUGUAGGCAGGAAGAUCAGCAGUGGCGGAAUGAAACGCUGGGGUUGCUGCGUGAUCAAACUGAUAUCCUCCGACGUCUGGUGGAGCUUCAGGAAGAGCAGCGAGGUCACAGAGUGCCGCGGCAGCCCCUGUGUCACCACCCUCAGUACUCACCAUGUUCCAUAUCUUCCUCACCCAGACGUGUAAGAACGCGUGGGGGAAGGCUUCGUGCACCAGCCCACUCCACCCCCGUGGACAGCCCAACCAAAAGGCUGUCAUUACAUUGAAAUGAUUUUAGUGGCCUUUUCCUUCCCUCCUAUCCUCCUCCCAAACCACACCCAGGCUACCUUGCCAGUUCUCUCCCUCUUUUUAUAAUGAGCUUUUUAAUAAAGAAUACAUGAUUUUUAAA